AUGGUGAAGGAGACCGCCUACUACGAAACCCUGGGGGUCAGCGUCGACGCCUCCCCCUCCGACAUCAAGAAGGCCUACUACGUCCAGGCCAGGCUGGUGCACCCGGACAAGAAUCCCGGCAACCCCGACGCGGCGCGCAAAUUCCAGGAUCUCGGAGAGGCCUACCAAGUCCUAAGCGAUCCAGCGAAGAAGGAGGCUUAUGAUAAGCAUGGAAAGGAGGGUCUUUCCCAGGAUAACAUGGUUGAUCCUGCUGCUGUAUUUGGGAUGCUUUUUGGAAGCGACUAUUUUGAAGAUUAUGUUGGUCAGCUUGCUCUGGCAUCCAUCGCUUCAGUGGAGGUUGAUGAAGGUUUAAGCAGUCAAGAUGCCAGAGCAAAGGUUCAAGAUAAGAUAAAAGAGUUGCAAACUGAAAGAGAGAAAAAGCUUACUCAGAGCCUAAAGGAUCGACUUCAGCCAUAUGUGGAUGGUAGAAAGGAUGAUUUUGUGCACUGGGCGAAUGCAGAAGCCAAGCGUUUAUCAGAAGCAGCUUUUGGUGAGGCUAUGCUUCACACUGUUGGAUAUAUUUAUGUAAGGCAAGCGGCAAGAGAACUUGGAAAGAGUAAAUUGUAUAUGGGUGUACCAUUCAUAGCUGAGUGGGUAAGAGACAAGGGUCAUACCAUUAAAUCACAAGUUCAUGCUGCUUCAGGUGCUAUUGCUCUGAUGCAGCUACAAGAAGGAAUGAAAAAGGUGGAGGAGGGUGCCGACAAGGAAGAGCAGCUUAUGAAGAGUUUUGAGGAGAAAAAAGAAGCCAUGCUUAAUUCUCUAUGGAAAAUUAAUGUGGUCGAUAUCGAGUCAACUCUUUCCCGAGUAUGCCAAGCAGUUCUUAAAGAUAGCACUGUCUCAAAAGAUGUUCUGAAGUUGCGAGGAAAAGCGUUGAAAAAGCUUGGAACGAUAUUCCAACAUGCUGAACAGUUAAUGAGGAAGACAUAG
rnacentral:rRNA from 1 species